rnacentral:rRNA from 1 species
ACCUACGGGGGGCAGCAGUAGGGAAUUUUCGUCAAUGGGCGCAAGCCUGAACGAGCAAUGCCGCGUGAACGAGGAAGGUCUUCGGAUCGUAAAGUUCUGUUGAAGGGGAAAAAGAGCGGAGAGAGGAAAUGGUCUCCGAUUGAUAUUACCCUUCGAGGAAGUCACGGCUAACUACGUGCCAGCUGCCGCGGUAAUACGUAGGUGGCGAGCGUUAUCCGGAAUGAUUGGGCGUAAAGGGUGCGUAGGCGGCCUGCUAAGUCUGGAGUGAAAGGUACCGGCUCAACCGGUACAGGCUCUGGAAACUG